rnacentral:lncRNA from 1 species
CCUUGUCCCCAGUGUCCCCUCUCAGUCCCCAGUGUCCCCUCACAGUGCUGGCUGUCCCCACAUUGUCCCCUCACCUUGUCCCCACGUGUCCCUUCACCUUGUCCCUUGUCCCCUCACCUGUCCCCACGUGUCCCCUCACCUUGUCCCCUCCCCUGUGUCCCCUCACCUUGUCCCUUGUCCCCUCACCUUGUCCCCUGUGUCCCCUCCCAGUCCUCUGCCGCCUCUUCACCGUGGGCCACCUCAUGCAGCCGGUGGCCAAGACGGUCAUCGUGGAGGUCAAGACGCCCGACAACGUCAUCAUCAAACAAGUCCCGGUGUCGUCCCCGACCAAGAACGGGAUCCUGUCCCUCACCCACAACCUGCCCGAGGUCGUCAGCCUGGGCAUGUGGACGAUCUCGGCCAAGUUCGAGGAUGCUCCGGACCAGGAUUUCAGCACCCACUUCGAGGUCAAGGAAUACGUGCUGCCGAGCUUUGAGGUGUCCCUGGUUCCCGAGGAGAAGUUCCUGUACCUCGACCGCCAGGCGGAUUUCAGGGUGUCCAUCCUGGCCAGGUGACACCAAAAUGUCCCUUGGGGGGGCAAAAGUGUCCCCUCUGGGGUCACAGCUGGGCGGGGGACAGGGGACAGCUGGGCUGGGCUGCUGUCCCUGGGUGUGGCACCGGGAGGGGGAGGGGGACACGGGGUGACAUGGGGGGACAGUGGGGGUGGUGGUAGGGGGGGGAUGAGAGAGGGGUGACAGGAUGGGGACAUGGGGACAUUGGUGGUGGCAGGGAGGGGAUGACAGAGGGGUGGCAGGAUGGGGACAUGGGGACAUUGGUGGUGACAGGGAUGAGAUGACAGAGACAGCGUGACAGGAUGGGGACAUGGGGACAUUGGAGGUGGCAGG